ACGAAGGGUGCAAGCGUUGUUCGGAUUUAUUGGGCGUAAAGCGCGCGCAGGCGGAUAGGUAAGUCAGAUGUGAAAUCCCGGGGCUCAACUCCGGAACUGCGUCUGAAACUGCUUAUCUAGAAUCUCGGAGAGGGAAGGGGAAUUUCGCAUGUAGGGGUAAAAUCCGUAGAGAUGCGAAGGAACACCAGAGGCGAAGGCGCCUUCCUGGACGAGUAUUGACGCUGAGGCGCGAAAGCGUGGGGAGCAAACAGG
rnacentral:rRNA from 1 species